rnacentral:lncRNA from 1 species
UGGCUGCUGGUCAGAUUUCAGUUGCUGUGUGAGUCCACAGUUUCCCUCUAGGAGGGAAAGCCACAAAGCCACUCAGUUCAAAACCUAGUACUUUGAGAAAACCGUUGCCUCAGGCACCUCUGGGGCUCCGAGGAGGACUGGAGCCUCAGGGUAAGUGACCGGACACAAGCAGAACUCAGCAGAGAGUUGGUUAAGGAAAUCGGACCGUGUGCCAGCUCUGCCUAUCCACACGGGGCCUGGGGCAGCUGAGAAGGACACACGAGCCUAAGCAAGUACCUGAAGAUGGUAGGUGGGGAGGAUUCUGAGCUUUGGAGGACUCUGGUGAAGCUGCUUUGUCCAAGGAAACAGCUCUUAAGAUGGGGUAUUCACUCUUCACCUGGAGCUCGGGGUGGGGGAGGAACGAGGAGGAUGGGCACCUGCUUCACCUGCUGCUCAUCAUCAUGUUUCAGGUUUCCCUGGGUUCAGUGCUGCUGUGGAGAACAGGACGAGACCAGUCUGCGGAUGCUUUGUGGCUACCCUGUGGCUCUAUGGAGCCUGGUGAUGCAGGAUCUCAUGGCCAACCUUCCUCUGCUAUGGUGACAGUGUCCAGCCCUGUCCCAGCCAGACAAAAGAAGCCAGAAGACAGCACUGGAGCUGGAGUCAGAGGCAGCUUUGAACUGCCAUGCAGCUUCUGGGAACUAAACCAGGAUCCUCUGCAAGGGCAGACCGUGCUCUCUUAGCCACUGAGCCAAGUAGGCUAGGCCGGCUGGCCAGGGAGUCCCAGGAAUCCACCUUGUCCAUCUCCCCAAAGCUGAGUUAUAAACA